GGUUACGGUAAUGAGUCAUACAAAUAUUUCGCCACCUGGAGGCUCGUUCAGAUAGUUGUAUCUGCUCACAGCAGCAGCGUAGAUCUAUCCUUGAAAAACAAGCUCCCAUCACCGUUCCCUUCGCCAGAUGGUGCAGAUGAUGAUCGAGGACCUGGAGUUAGGAGAGUAGAUUAAUAGCGGCUCACCUCAUGGCCCAGGAUGGCUGCUCUGGAUCUGGCCAUUACAUCUGCACGUUAUCCAACGGAAAAUAAAGAAAGAGUACAGA
rnacentral:lncRNA from 1 species